UACGGAGGGUGCAAGCGUUGUCCGGAUUUACUGGGCGUAAAGAGCGCGCAGGCGGUCGUUCAAGUCGAGUGUGAAAGCCCCCGGCUCAACUGGGGAGGGUCAUUCGAUACUGAUCGACUCGAAGGCAGGAGAGGGAAGUGGAAUUCCCGGUGUAGUGGUGAAAUGCGUAGAUAUCGGGAGGAACACCAGUGGCGAAGGCGACUUCCUGGCCUGUUCUUGACGCUGAGGCGCGAAAGCUAGGGGAGCAAACGGGG
rnacentral:rRNA from 1 species